rnacentral:misc_RNA from 1 species
UUUAAAAAAUAAUAUAUAGUCUUUUAUAUCAAUAUUUAUGAAAAUAUAUUAUUAAAAUUUAAAAUUUUAAUUUUCUAUAUUAUAAAAUAAGUACUCCAUAAUUACAUUUCCUACUAAAAUAAGUCAAUAACUAAUUUUAUGAUGCUGCAAUUUUGGUGUUAAGUAAUUGGUUUUAUUCACGGCAAGUUGGUUGACUCAAUCAUAAUUCAGUAUCCCUUUCAUAUUACCUUUACAGGCAAACCUAUGUACAGGUGAUGCGUAAAGAAAGGGGGCAAAAGUGUAUUUUGCUAGCCAUUAAAGACCUAAUCUGGAUCAAAGACACUAGUGAAAGAGAGAGAGAGAACCAAAAAAAAAAAAACCUUCAUGAUUUUAAGGCAAAAAUAAACAAUAAUGUGUAGAUAAUUACAGGAUUUAUAUGAUUACAAUAUUAAGAAAUAAAAACAAGAAAAAAAAACAUGUAUCUUUAAAUAUUUAACAAGUAAGCCACAUCGCAAACAGAAGCAUAUUAGCCGCCAUCAAGAGUUUAAAAAUGGAGCAAUGUCUUAUCCUAUGAAACUAUGCUCAUUUUAUAGCAAUAUUAUAAUGAAUAUAAUAAGCCAAUAUAAAGCAGAAAGACAUGCAAAUUCCAAAUCUUUUGCAUCUAGCUUUUAAUUAAUGGGGAAAAUUAAAAUUAAUGAAGGUUAAGAGACAAAACUUGAAAAGUUGUAUUCAAAUUUUUUAAGAAAGAAAUUUAAAUGUUAAAGAAAAACAAAUGUACCUUUGAGAUGCUUCUUGUCGUG